rnacentral:rRNA from 1 species
UACGAGAGGCCCAAACGUUAUUCGGAUUUACUGGGCUUAAAGAGUUCGUAGGCGGUGCAGAUAGUGGGGUGUGAAAGCCCUCGGCUCAACCGAGGAAUUGCGCUCCAAACUCCUGUACUCGAGGAAGCUAGAGGUGAGCAGAACUGAUGGUGGAGCGGUGAAAUGCGUUGAUAUCAUCAGGAAUACCGGAGGCGAAGGCGGCUCACUGGGGCUUUUCUGACGCUGAGGAACGAAAGCCAGGGUAGCGAACGGGG